CGGAACGGAAGGGUGACGUUUUCAGGGUGAAAAGGAAACUUCCCAGAAGGCGGCGGGGACCCAGACGCGGUCUCUCCUCUUCACUGAAGAGCAGAGCUGUUAAUACAACGCAAAGGCAUCUCCUUUCCCCCAUAUUAUCCUGAUGUGUUUGGACGAAAUGGCACGAUUCAAGGUUGAAUUAAUGCAGGUCCCUGGUCCCACUCCUCCUCUCCAGGGGGCUUCUGAGAAAACCUCAGGCAGGCAAGACACACCUGGCAUUUUCUCGAAUGUGUCUGAAGUGCUCUGGUCAGAAUUUAAUUCCAUUGGAUUUCUCAACAUGAUGAAGAGGAAGCUAUUUACAACAGAUAUCCUGCAUAAAAGAAGUACAAAAAGUACGAAGCUUUCUAGCAGAGAUCUCAUCUCCGCAGACAGGAGGUUCCCCUCACCCAAGGGCUUAUGGAGUUCCCGGGCCAAGGAUCCAGGCCGAAGUGGCAAUGCUG